rnacentral:rRNA from 1 species
UACGUAGGGCGCAAGCGUUGUCCGGAAUUAUUGGGCGUAAAGAGCUCGUAGGCGGCCUGUUACGUCUGCUGUGAAAUCCCGGGGCUUAACCCCGGGCGUGCAGUGGAUACGGGCACGGCUGGAGGCAGGCAGGGGAGAACGGAAUUCCCGGUGUAGCGGUGAAAUGCGCAGAUAUCAGGAGGAACACCUGCGGUGUAGACGGCUUUCUGGACCAUUGCUGACGCUGAGACACGAAAGCGUGGGUAGCAAACAGG